rnacentral:ncRNA from 1 species
AAAGACUUAGUCCUAACCUUACCGUUAAUUUUAGCUAGACAUAUACAUGCAAGUAUCCGCAUUCCAGUGUAAAUGCCCUUACCCUCUUCAUAUAGAUAAAGGAGCAGGCAUCAGGCACGCCCCGGCAGCCCAAGACGCCUUGCUUAGCCACACCCCCACGGGUAUUCAGCAGUAAUUAACAUUAAGCAAUAAGUGAAAACUUGACUUAGCCAUAGCUACUCAGGGCUGGUAAAUCUUGUGCCAGCCACCGCGGUCACACAAGAAGCCCAAAUUAACCGUCACACGGCGUAAAGAGUGGUACAACAUUAUCCAGAUAACUAGGAUUAAACUAUAACUAGGCCGUCAUAAGCUAAAGAUAUAUAUAAGACCUUCUCUUAAAGCGAUCUUAGCACUUCUGCGACUGACGAGACACCACGAAAGCUAGGACCCAAACUGGGAUUAGAUACCCCACUAUGCCUUGCCCUAAAUCCUGAUGCGCUACCCCACUAAGCCAUCCGCCUGAGAACUACGAGCACAAACGCUUAAAACUCUAAGGACUUGGCGGUGCCCCAAAACCACCUAGAGGAGCCUGUUCUAUAAUCGACAACCCACGAUGCACCCGACCCCCCCUUGCUGAGCAGCCUAUAUACCGCCGUCUCCAGCUCGCCCUUCAUGAAGGCCUAGCAGCGAGCACAACAGCCCCAACUCUCACUAGUAAGACAGGUCAAGGUAUAGCUAAUGGGGUGGAAGAAAUGGGCUACAUUUUCUAUAAUAGAAUAAACUAAACGGAAAGGAGCGUGAAAUCGCCCCCAGAAGGCGGAUUUAGCAGUAAAAAGAGACAAUAAAGCUCUCUUUAAGCUGGCUCUGAGGCACGUACAUACCGCCCGUCACCCUCCUCACAGGCUAUCAGACACACCAUAACUAAUAAACUCUCAUGCUAAAGACGAGGUAAGUCGUAACA